rnacentral:misc_RNA from 1 species
UGGGUCCUUUUAUUUGUCUUGUAGGAGUAAAUGUGUAAAACUUGCUCUUUCUUAAGUGGAAAAUGCAAGUGGAUCACCCAAGAAGAUGUCAGCUACAUCAGCAAGAAGUCGCACUAGGUCUCAUCUAGUUCUUCUCCACUCCCUUACAAUGCUUGCACCGAUUGCAGUAGCUGUAUCUGCGGGUCUUCUGGGUUGGGUUUAUCAGGCACUGAAGCCUCCUCAUCCGAAGAUAUGUGGAUCGCCCGGUGGUCCUCCAGUCACUUCACCCAGAGUCAAACUCAGUGAUGGUAGGCAUUUGGCCUACAGGGAGAUGGGAGUUCCUAAGGAAGAAGCCAAGCACAAAAUUAUAGUCAUUCAUGGCUUUGACAGUUCGAAGGAUCUAAAUUUACCUGUGUCUCAGGAACUUAUUGAGGAGCUGAGCAUGUAUUUCCUUUUCUUCGAUAGAGCAGGGUAUGGAGAAAGUGAUCCAUUUCCAAAGCGUACAGUGAAGAGUGAAGCAUACGAUAUUCAAGAACUAGCAGACAAGUUGCAGAUUGGACCGAAAUUUUACAUAAUUGGAGUCUCAAUGGGAGCCUACCCCAUAUAUGGUUGCCUAAAAUACAUACCACAGAGGUUGGCUGGAGCUUCACUUGUAGUUCCAUUUGUACACUACUGGUGGCCUUGUCUCCCGGCCAAUGUAUCCAGAGAGGGCUUCCAAAGGCUUCAGAAAUGUGAUCAAUGGACAUUUCGAAUUGCACAUCGUGCACCUUGGUUAUUCUACUGGUGGAUGACCCAGAAAUGGUUCCCUUCAUUAAGUAUUAUGGCAGGAAAUAUGGCAAUCUUUUGCCCCCAAGAUUUGGAGAUGAUUAAAAAGUUAUCAGAAACUCCAAGUGUUGGUCUGGUAGCUACAUUGGUCUAUGCAUUAGUUUCUAAUACUGGGAAUUCUUAUGUUGUUUAAUUUCUACUGUAGAGCACAUUUGGUGGCAAUAUUCCAACAAUCUGUUAUGUUUACAGGAAAAGGUUCGGCAACAAGGUGUUCAGGAAUCUCUGCAUCGGGACAUAAUCGCAGGGUAUGCGAAAUGGGAAUUUGAUCCCCUGGACAUAAGUAAUCCUUUCCCUAACAAUGAAGGCUCAGUCCACAUUUGGCAAGGUUAUGAGGACAGAAUCAUUCCUUAUCAAAUAAAUCGUUACAUAUCAGAGAAGCUUCCAUGGAUUCGCUACCAUGAAGUUCCUGAUACUGGACACUUGUUGAUCUUCAGGAGUGAGCUAUGUGAAGAAAUUUUUAGGUCACUUUUGGUUAGAUGAGUUAGUUCUAUCAUUAUAGGGCUACUAUAUAUAGUCUAUACUGCAUCUGUUUGUGAAACUGUUCAAUGCUAUUCCCUGCAAAUAAAAUUUCUCAUAUUGUCCCUGUUAUAGUAGGUACGUAAAUCUAAGGCGCGCAUA